CGGUGGAGGGAAGGGAAUUAAGAGCAAGAAGACCACGUCAGGCUGCUGCCUUGGCCGGCAGGAAACAAGAGUGUGUAAAGAAAGCUGCUGACUCCUUAAGAGAGCUUUGCUUAUGAAGCUGAACUCAAAACUCACUGAGGCACCAACAGAAACACCAAUUAUGCCAUGACAAGGUGACCACUGGUAACUCACUGAGGCACCAACAGAAACACCAAUUAUGCCAUGACAAGGUGACCACUGGUAACUCACUGAGGCACCAACAGAAACACCAAUUAUGCCAUGACAAGGUGACCACUGGUAACUCACUGAGGCACCAACAGAAACACCAAUUAUGCCAUGACAAGGUGACCACUGGUAACUCACUGAGGCACUAACAGAAACACCAAUUAUGCCAUGACAAGGUGACCACUGGUAACUCACUGAGGCACUAACAGAAACACCAAUUAUGCCAUGACAAGGUACUGUGACCACUGGUGCUGUGUUGAGGUAAGGCAAACACAGCAAUCACACAGUGACAAGGUAAGGUGACUGCAGUGCUGUGUUGAGGUAAGGUAAGCACUGCAGUGACGUGUGCCAGGGACUCGCUGUAACAAGAGUGACACUCGGGGGG